UACGUAGGGGGCAAGCGUUGUCCGGAAUCAUUGGGCGUAAAGAGCGCGUAGGCGGCCCGAUAAGUCCGUUGUGAAAGUCAAAGGCUCAACCUUUGAAAGCCGAUGGAUACUGCAGGGCUAGAGUACGGAAGAGGCGAGUGGAAUUCCUGGUGUAGCGGUGGAAUGCGCAGAUAUCAGGAGGAACACCAAUAGCGAAGGCAGCUCGCUGGGACGUUACUGACGCUGAGGAGCGAAAGCGUGGGGAGCGAACAGG
rnacentral:rRNA from 1 species